UACGUAGGUGGCAAGCGUUUGUCCGGAAUUAUUGGGCGUAAAGCGCGCGCAGGUGGUUUCUUAAGUCUGAUGUGAAAGCCCACGGCUCAACCGUGGAGGGUCAUUGGAAACUGGGAGACUUGAGUGCAGAAGAGGAAAGUGGAAUUCCAUGUGUAGCGGUGAAAUGCGUAGAGAUAUGGAGGAACACCAGUGGCGAAGGCGACUUUGCUGGUCUGUAACUGACACUGAGGCGCGAAAGCGUGGGGAGCAAACAGG
rnacentral:rRNA from 1 species